CGGCCCCCGGCGGGGUGGACGGCAAUGCGCAGAGGUAGGCUGGGUGCGCCACGGGGGGGCAGGAAGCCUAUCUUCACGGCACCAAUUUGCCACUGGGAGUCAAAGGCAAGGUCGCCAGCCAAGAGAGGUGUAAAGAAACAGGGUGCGGCCCUCGAGGGGAGUGGUUUAGACAGCAAGGGAGAGAGCGGACCAUGGCCGCGGGUGUGGAUGACUCAUCCUUACUGAGGACACGUGGCGGAGAAGAACACGAAUGUGUCCCCCACCCAUAAUGCUGGCGAUUUCAUCCACCUGUGCAUACACUGUAACCUAGACGUGACAGUGGGGUGUCUGUUGCAAGCUUGGGAGGGUUGCACAGCCUGUGUGGUCAAGGGGGGGAAGGCAAAACAGCGGCUGAAAUUCUGCAUGAGCUCUGCGGGGGAGGAGCUCACUAGGGGGGCAGGGGGACCGGCGGGAAGGACCACAAGACUCAGGGCUCAGCGAUGUCGUGGGUCCAGGGACGUGGGAGGGAGCACCUGAGCACGGGGGAAGAGGGGGGGUGACACAGGACGUGGUGCACUGGAAAUCCAGCUCAGAGACAGUGCAUCUGCAGGAGGGGGGAGCACCGCCCUAAAGCCCUGGCCGCCACACUGCGAUCCUCAGCACCUGCUCCUGACCCACUGCAACCAACACACAUUAAAUCCGGGCUGAGCCAUCUCAGAAAACAAGCCAGACCACAGCCGCAUGUCCCGCUAACAAUGCAAUUAUUCACCUGGCGGAGAAAUAAAAACCUAAUUACGUACAUUAAAAGAGAGGCGAGCAGGCCCCUGAAUAACGUUAAGACGGUCCGCAAUAGAAGAUGUGAUUUGACCGGACACGAGUGGCAGGUUUUCUGGUCGUUGUGUCCAGAUUUCUCACUAACAUUUUAAUUAUUUCUGAACAGUUAAAUGAGUGAGCGUUGCCUACACAAGCAACCAGCUCAGAAGGAAGCCUUCCUGGAGGAGGCCAUGAAAACUCAGUAAGUUAGCCUGGAAUUUAAAUACUGCGGACCAAGAACCACGUGGUUAGUGCUUAGCCCGGCCUCCGUCCAAGGCAACGAGAUAGAAUGUAGCCGAGUGGAAAAGGGAAUUUGCUAAAAUGAUAAGUACGACCUUCAGGACUCCUGUACCCGCAGCACCCACCUCACGUGGCAUCUGGCCGUCAACGCCCUGUGCAAACAGGUCAUUCAUUCUCCCUGGGGCCCUGCAACAUGGGAAGUACAAGAGCUGGGGACUGAGGAGCUGGAGGGCAGGUCUCCCCGGGAAUUUCAGCUGGCGGGGGCGGGGGAGGCCAGGCAGCCCCGGGA
rnacentral:lncRNA from 1 species